UAAGUGCCAAAAAAAUCCUCCCAGAAC
rnacentral:piRNA from 1 species